AAGCAACACAUGUAUUCUCCUACAGUAUUCUCCUACAGUAUUCCCCUACAGUAUUCUCCUACAGUAUUCUCCUACAUGUAUUCUCCUACAGUAUUCCCCUACAGUAUUCUCCUACAUUAUUCUCCUACAGUAUUCCCCUACAGUAUUCUCCUACAUGUAUUCCCCUACAGUAUUCUCCUACAGAUUUCUCCUACAGUAUUCUACAUGUAUUCUCCUACAGUAUUCUCCUACAGUAUUCUCCUACAGUAUUCUCCUACAUGUAUUCUCCUACAGUAUUCUCCUACAGUAUUCCCCUACAGUAUUCUCCUACAUUAUUCUCCUACAGUAUUCUCCUACAUGUAUUCUCCUAC